AAUACCGCAUACGUCCUACGGGAGAAAGCAGGGGACCUUCGGGCCUUGCGCUAUCAGAUGAGCCUAGGUGGGAUUAGCUAGGUGGUGAGGGAAUGGCUCACCAAGGCGACGAUCCGUAACUGGUCUGAGAGAAAGAUCAGUCACACUUUAAGGGAGACACGGUCCACCCUCCGACGGGAGGCAGCAGUGGGGAGUAUUGGACAAUGGGCGAAAGCCUGGUCCAUAAGGGCCGCGUGUGUGAAGAAGGUCUUCGGA
rnacentral:rRNA from 1 species